rnacentral:rRNA from 1 species
GACAGAGGGUGCAAACGUUGUUCGGAAUUACUGGGCGUAAAGCGUGUGUAGGCGGCCACGCAAGUCAGGUGUGAAAGCCCCGGGCUCAACCCGGGAAGUGCACUUGAAACUGCAUGGCUCGAGUAUCGGAGAGGUUGGUGGAAUUCUCGGUGUAGAGGUGAAAUUCGUAGAUAUCGAGAGGAACACCGGUGGCGAAGGCGGCCAACUGGACGAAUACUGACGCUGAGACACGAAAGCGUGGGGAGCAAACAGG